AAAGAGAUCCGCAUUGAAAGGGCAGAUGAAUUUGGCCGAAUAUUAACCCCAAAGGAAGCGAAGCUUUCCGAUUGCUUUCCCAUAAAUUUCAUGGAAAAGGGCCUGGCAAAAUGAAGCAAGAGAAGCGCAUGAAGCAAUACCAGGAAGAGUUGAAGUUGAAGCAGAUGAAGAAUUCAGACACGCCUUCUUUGUCUGCAUAGAGGAUGAGGGAAGCUCAAGCUCAAAUGAAGACACCUUAUCUUGCGCUUAGUGGUCAUGUUAAGCCUGGUGAUCCAAGAAAGAAGUCAGAGCCACCAUUGAGAAGGAUCCUGGGAGCUUAACGCCCAUUGCUUGGAGAUAGGAAGGUCAGUGUCGACCCAAGUUUGUUGCUUUUUCAUCUCUAAAUAUAGGGCGCAAAGAACAAAUGGAGAAAGCAGGGGAGAAAGAACGAAUGAGAAAAGAAAAACAAGAGAGGGAAAAAAAGAGAAGCUGAGGGGAAAGCUGGCAGCAGAACAUGAUCAUCUAUCGACUGGAGUCCAAGAUAAGGGAAUUACGGCAAGUCAUCAAAAGUUUAAUCAUGCAGUACACACAAUUGAUUUUCUGUAGUCAACAUGAUUCCAACAAUCUGGACAUUUGUUGUUCUGUAUAGCAUGCUGUGGAAGAAAAAGAUGAGUUUUUAACACCGGCAAAUGAGGAAGAGUCAAUUGUAUCAUCUG